rfam:Caenorhabditis remanei strain PB4641 contig40.10, whole genome shotgun sequence.
ACCCGGGUGGCCGAGUGGGGAAAGGCACGAGUGUUCACUCGAUGGGCGUCGACCCUGCGCAGGUUCGAAUCCUGCUCCUGGUG